AUUCUCCAUGGAGCCUGAGCAGCCCCUUCCCUGAAGGGCCACGGUGCUGGGGAUAGCCCUGACCGUGCCGUCCUGCCACCCGCCAUCGUGGCCGCCCCACAUGCACUGUGGCUGCUGCACAUUCCCUCCCAUUCCCUUUUUUUUUUUUUUUUUCUUAAUAAUUGUUCAGUCGGUGGGGAUUUUUAUUCUCAUAUUCCUGAUUUUUUUAUUAUUUUUUUAUUUUGAUUUUUUUUUUUUUUAAUUAAGCCCUCAGUGUAAAACAGGCAGAGGCUAAAAGUCUUUACACAGUUUAAACAGAACAUUUUCGGAUGAUUUUAUUGGACUGUCUGCGUAAUGUGGGCCACAGACAUUCACCCUGCUGCCCCUCAGCAGCGUACAAUAAGUUGUGUGAGUCAAGCUGUGCUCCCAGAAGGAACACAAGUCUUUAUCCAAAGAGGCUGAGACAGGGAGACUCCAGCACUUCCUGUAACAGCCGGCUCAAAUGCUUCAUUGCCCCGACUUCCUUGUACAAAAUAAAGCAAAUAAAAAUAGUUCCCUUCUUUAUUUUUUAAUUGGGACUUGUCUGGCUUCGGCAUUUAUCCGUCAGUUCUUGUUACGGCUUUCUCUGGGAGAUUAGAGAGUUCUUCGGUACCUGAUAUUUCUUCCCUAGGAAGAAGUGCAUGUGCAGAAGCAAGUCGCCCCUGGACCUUGUUAAUAAACUAAGCAAACAGAUCCCUUCCCAUCUCGCAUGUAGUAUGUUUUUUCCCCAGUUUUGGUAAAUGUUGAGGGCUCUUCACUCCCGUCACUGGAAGACAAGCAGAAAAGAAAAGAGCAGGAAACAGAAAGAAGUCCAAACCCCUGGAAAAUCAGACAGCCACACACUCCCUCCCCUUUGUCUGCAUGAAUACAUUGUUCCCCUUCCCAUUGUCUUCGUAACAAAUUUGGGGAAUUAUCCCUGGUGCCAUUUCCCAAAUCUCGGUAUCGCUUCAGAUUAAUUAUUACCAGCGAGUAGCAGAGAGGGAACUGGCUGUCAGCAUUUGAGCGAGGGGUAAAAAUGAGGGCCGGAGCGUGCAUUUAGCCACACGCACGUUUGCAGGGCAUGGGUGGGAAUGAAAGGGAGCGUUGCAGAGCGCUCCAGCAUCCUCGUGUGCUCGCCCGGCUGCUCCGCUCCGCCACAGGCACACAGCUGGCCGGGAACGAGCGAGCCUGUGGAGCUCCUGUGCAGCCCGACAGGCUGAAACGUCCCAGAGAAGCCGUACAGGCAGAUCUGCCGAGGAGGAAAAUACAACAGGGCGCUGGGAGAGGAACGCUCACAAAGACGUUCAGAGGGAACCGUGAUUUUCAUCCCGCUCCUUUACGCUUUGCAACGAAUGCUGCUUUUUGCAUUAAAAAAACAAAAACAAACCCAAACCCAAACACGUCUUCCCUCAUGCAUUCAAAUUACACCGUUCGAAAAUCAAAGAGCAAGCCCACAAACCACCAAGAUUAUAAAAAUAACAUAGCUGGGAUUCUUUUACUGUCUCUCUGUUUUAAGGGGCUGCGUGUGUCACAUUUUAAAGCCAUUCUCUGCAUUGUCCGAGGUUAGAAAGUUACUUUUUAAUUGAGGGCUGAAUUCCUGAUCCUAACACUUGACGGUUUUCUUCCUGACUCCCCCCCACCCCCCUCCAAAGGCUGUGCGUUAUUUGAGUGCGAAGGACCCUGUGUCUGCCCAUGAUCCCGAUGUCCCCAAGCAGUGUUGCUGGGUUAGGAGGAGGCACCGGGAGCCACCGUAGCAGUGGGAAUCUGCAGACAGAGCCUGGCUUGGCCGUGCUGACUCCUCGGAAUCAUGGGCUUGAUCCCCAUUCACCGCUCACAGUUGCAAAACUGGCUUAAAAAUCACCAUGUUUAAAAAAAAAAAAAAAAAAAAAAGAAAAGAGAAAAAGGAAAAAGGGAAAAAGGAAUUAGCAAGUGGCUUCUUUUCUGAUGCCAUUGUGCUGUGGAACAGCAGGCCAGCUUUCAAGCUUUUUGCCGCAUCCACAACAAAUAGUUAUUUCUUAAGAAAAAGGAUUAAAAAAGUCUGCUCAGAGCUUUGCAUAUAAUCCUAUGACUCCAGGACCCAAGGCUUUGAGUAAUAUCAAAAUCGAAAUAAAUUCUCCCUGUGAGAAUCAUAAGAAUCUGCCAAAUUAGUUCACAGGGGUAAACAAACAGCCAAAUAUUAGUAUUCCACACUAAGAGCUAAAUCCUGUAAGUGGGGCCAGGGUUGCACAUGGAUUAUCCUUUUAUAGUUCAGGCGUGGAUUUACCGAGGGGAUUAUAGGCCUUGCCCUCCCAGCCCUCCCCGGCUCCCCGCGUGCUGCCCGGUCUCAGCACGCAGCACAACCCUCCUGCCGCCCCUCUUUCUCCAGAGCUCCCUCCAGGCACCCCAAUGGGGGGCAACCGUCACCCUUGGGUGCCGGAUGGAGGAGAGCGGGGCUAGGAGCAAUGCAGGGAUCAGCCAAGAUCCUGCACGGGUGCAGCAUCCCUGGGGGAUGGGGGAUUAGUCCCCAGAUGUCCCGGCCUCCUUUCUUCCUGCUGCUGCUUUGCAUCACCCAGCCCUGUUCCCUGAACGGGAUAAAGACAAUUGGAGCUGACACCCCGCUUCAGUUUCCCUUCCGCAGCGGGCUGAUCCUGCCGCCCUGAUGGGCUGUCACUCCUCAUCUCCUGCACGCUGCCCCUGCAGCGGCGGGCGGAGGGCUCUGCCUGGGCCAGGGGACCGCAUGUGAUGCUGAGGUGCCACACACACACUGAUGCCAUCAACUUAUUCCCUCCUUGACUCCCUUUGCCGACUGCACGCACUUAUAUACAUACAUAUAUAUCUGCAUGUGAAUGCACACGCGUAUUUUAUUAUCAAAAUAAGCAGCUAUCUCGCUGGAUGUUGCUCUUCUUUUCAGGCAGAAACAAUUCUGCACCAUCACUGCUCGCUCCAACCUUUUUAUUUGUGUAUUUUAUAGGUUAUUACUAUUACAUAAAAAGUGCCCAGCACUCUACAAGGCACAAAAUACAGAUAAUCUCUGCGGUGAAGACUGUGGAACCUAAACAAAACAGACAAUGUAGACAGGGCUCCCUGAGAAGCACAGAAGAAUGAAGAUUAGCCUUGUUUCAUUUUUAUAAAUAUAGCGCUGACAUUAUUGGACAAGAAACAGACGUUUGCUCUUUUUCUUCCCUCUCUAUCCUCCCAUUUAAUAAUUCUUCCCUCUGAUGCAAUAGUUAUGACGUGAUGUGAAAUAAAGCCUGGUUUGGGCUGCUGGCCCUGAUUCAACAGCCCCGAGUCCCGGGCUUGCUCCGGAGCGCUCACGUGCUUAGGAUUUCUCUAGAUCACGUCGUCUAUUGACAGCUGCCCUUUCGCUUACAAAUGAAACCAUCCCCAGAUCAAUAAGAAAAAACCUUAUUCUCCUCACCUGUUUAAUGCCACAGCUGCGGGUUGCUGUAAGAUUUGUGAACAAGCCAAUAUCUACAGAGAAAGCAGUAAGAAAAAUAACACCUUCUCUACCAGGCUGAGCGGGUGUGCUGUGUUUACAUACAGAUCACCUGCUGGGGGUUUUGUUGUUUUCCUGGGUAGGUGGACACACAGCCUUGUGUACUUUUGCCCGGUUCAGAGCUACAUCACUUUAAAGGGGCAUUCCCUUCUUGAGCAGUUUUCAGAAAGGCACAUUCUGGGUAAUGAGCGUUUCUCAAAUCAUUCUAACAAUGAUUCUUACUGCUGUUUAUUUAUAUUUUUUAAACAAAAGGUCAUUUAUUGCCGAUUUCCUCCAUCCUCAUACUUAACCUCCCAUCCUAGUGGUUUUCAGUACUUUGGGUUUGUAAGGGCAAAAGGAAUAAGAGAUACAGAGGAACCUGUUCACUUGGUCCUGUACAAAGACAAUGGGAUGAGGUUAAAGUCAGUGCCCCAUCAAAUCGACUGCAGGUCCCCCAGAGCAGAGCAGAAGAAUUGCCUGGCUGCAGGGCGCUCACCUGGCACUCAGCUGACAUCGAUUUAAUGGCAUUUGCUUGCUAUGCGACCCAGGUCCAAGUCAGGUCCAAGUCACCGGAAAGAGUCCUGUGGCUGAAAGACACAGAUGCUUUAUGAAGCUGGGGAAGUUCGGGAGCACAAAAGAAAAGCAAAUAGCAGUUGUGAUGCUUCACACUUGUUUCUUGUCUCAGAUUACUUAUUUGCUCAGAAUUUAUUGCCUUAAUCUUCUUGGAUGUGGUGUAUGGAAGGACCUCUCUCCUGGACUUCAGAGGAUCACAGAGGUUUGGAGAAGAGGGUUGGCUUGGAGAGGCCCUAGGAGAGCUCACAUAGGUACCCCCAGGUACCCAUACACUGGAAAAGGCAGCCAUGAAGACAGUAUGUUCCUGCUGGAUUUCCUUUUCCCAUUUUCCCUGGAGGUGGUACAGCCUGGAAAAAUAUCAGCGUGCCAACAUGGAAGGCCUCAGCAAGAGCAAGGAUCUGAGAAAGCUAAGAUUUGUUGAUAAGCACCCACCAAUUCAGGUAUUCAGGCACUGUCAAGCCAGGUGCACUUGAAACCCUUUUCCACUUGACUUGUGAUGCCCAAAAAAGCCUCAAUGGCAGUGCAUCAGUCAUGCUAUGCGGGGCCACUAAAUUGUCCAGACAAGUGGCUUCUGCUCUUUCCCUGUUGCGGCCUGUCCUGUUGGCCAGCAUUUGGGGCAGGAAUGCCCUCUCCUUUGGCCAUCCAAGGUGCCUGGUUACCCCUGAAACAACCAGCAGCACAUCCGUGGCAUGGCAUUCCCUUCCUCCUCCUCUAACCAGAGCUGCACUGGGUCACAUUGUUGGCAUGCCAUGGCCAUGACUCAAGUCUUACCGAUGACCCACAUCUGCUUCUGCCUCCAGUCGUGUGUCCCAAAAGGGCCCAGAUGCUUUGAGAGGAAUCUUUGGCUGCUGCCUCAGGGAGUUAAAUCACAAGCCCCACAAUUUGAUGCUGAAAUCAGGACCUUCUCCCCAGACCGUGUAUCAGCUGCCAUGGCUAACCCUUCAAUCUGUUGUUUUUGCCCGUGCAGUUUCGUUACCAGCACAUUCUUCUUCUGAAACUGAUACAUCAGUUUUAAUUAGUUAGGUUUUCUUUUUCUAUCCAGAGGAGCCUCUGCCUUCAAAGACCAACUUUCAAACAUUAACUCUUCUAAACGUUUCCCCCCACACGUGCACACCUCCCUGUCCUACCUCGUGAAUUAUGUUCAUCCUUUUACUUGUAGCAGGCCGGUACUUUAGCGUGAUAAAUUCAGGUUAGUGUCUCCUUAAGUGUAAGUAUACGUGUGUGUACCUGCAUGUGCGUGUAAAGAAUGAGUAAAGUAAAGUGGUAUUGAGCCAUAAAUUACCACUCCAGCAUCAUAAAUUGCCAGGAGAACGCUCAAUUUUUGGACUUUUCUUUCAACUGAAUGAGAUAAUUAAUGUAAGAGAAAGAGAAACGAGGGAGACCUUCCCCCUCCCCGAAGCCCUCUGCCCUGACGUUUUGCUGUGCAACUUCAAGGUUGCCGUGGGAUGGGGAUCGCACUUCUUGACAGGGGAAAGCGGCCAUGGAGCCGGAGAUCUGGGCGGGUGGGGGUCAGUGGGACAGGAGAGUGUUUUCCUUUGGCCGGGGCUGUGGGAGGGACUCUAAUGCAGGCUGUGACCCUAUUUAAUAAAAUGCCUUGGAAAGCAAGGGGCCAGGAGGGGGGUGAGAGGGAGACGUGGUGGCUGGGGCUGGCAGGAGACUGUAUGAGAUGAAAGUGGCCCUUCUUCCAUCCCUCUCCUCCCUCUCUGCUGUCAGCACUUUUUAAUGUCAAACAGCGCGAGCGGUCGGUAGGGUAGUUUCUGACUCUCUAUAUUUAUUUUUUUCACUUUCUCCAGAGUUUCAGCUAGGUGAAUUCACUGCUUGGGAGUGACUGGAGCGCGGUCCGGGUGGGCCUGCAGACAUCCUUUUCACCAGAAUCUCCACUGAACCUUUUUUUAGGUCUUUCUCUGAGCCAAAAGACAGACAGGGAAGGCUCCUUCCCACCCUGCAUGUGAGUCCCAGACCACCCUGGGUAUAAAGCUGAUCUGAUACAAGCUACAAGCAGGACCAGGGCAGGCAUCACACUGUGAAUCAUAGAGUUGUUUGAGUUGGAAGGGACUUUUAAAGACAAUCUGGUCCGACUCCCUUGCAAUGAACAGAGCCACCUACAGCUCCAUCAGGUGUUCAGAGCCUCAUCCAGCCCGACCUUGGAUGUCUCCAGGGAUGUGGCACCGACCACCUCUCCGGGCAACCUGAGCCAUUGCCUCACCAUCUUCUUCCUUAUGCCCAGUCUAAAUCUCCCCUCUUUUAGACUGAAACCAUUUCCCCUUGUCCCAUCACAACAGACUCUGCUGAAGAAUCUGUCCUCUUCUUUCUUACAGCCCCCUUUAGAUACUUUCAGCCUUACAUGACACAAGGGCAGGCCCAUCAAACCAUUCUGAUUGAGGGUGGGAGCAGUAUCUCCAUGGCUGGUGUGUGGCACAGCGUGUUUCCGUGGGGCGAUGUGAGUGAGGCAGUGGGGCAGUCCCCACACCGGUGGGCUUGGUGCAUGCCCUCCGCUUAGAUGUGCACUGUGCUGCUUCCUGGCCGCCCGUGUUUGGUGAGGAGCUUUGCCUGUCUUAAGCACCUUUCGAAUACAUUGGGCACAGCUCAUUGAAUCCUUUAACAAUCCAGCUCUCUCCUCUCCCCCCUCUCCCCCACAGCCAGCACCUGUUUUCAGGAGGCAGCAAUGGCACAGCCACGAUCACCCCACGGUCCAGUGGGCUCUGCUCCCAUCCCUCCUGCAGGGGACUGUUCCCCCUCACCACCCCGUUUUGCAGAGUCCUCUCUGAAAAGAGAGGAUUUUGUUGUUGGCAAAGCUCUCCCUGCUCGGGAGGAUUUUCCAGAACUCAGCAAUUCCCAGGCCCUACCCCUGCAUGGCGAGAGCUGGGUAAUGGGCCAUUAACCAGAGGAAGGGGAACUCUCCAGUGGCUGCAAGCAACAAUAGCAACAAAACAACCCAAAAACAACAAAGCAUACCCAUGAAAAAUGCACCAAACAGCGGGAGGAGUUGGGGGUGGAGGGGAGAGGGAAGUAAAUCCAUAGAGAGGUGAUAGUAAAACCUUGGUUAAAAAUCAAAGCCUUGGUAAAGCGCUGCCUUCCCCAGUGCGGAGGAGAGAGGUUUGGUCUCCAGCCACACAGCCCCAUCAGCUCCUCUGUUCCCCACCCUCGCCAGGCCUCAAAUGUGCACACCUGGGCCGGGGGCGCAGUGAGAUGGCAGCGUGGGGGGGUGCCUGCAGCCUCAGCUCUGCACCAGCGCUGGGUCAGGUAAGGGGAUGAAUGGAUGCAGGCCAGGAAGGUGGGAAGCCAGGGAGAUGGUCCUUUGUGGCUAUGGUGGGGCUGGGGGUAGGAUAUGAAGGAGCAGGGUGCUCAGUGUGUGCAGAUGACAGCCAUUCAGGGAAGUAAUGAGGUGCAGGGGCUGAAAACGAAGCAGCGCAGGAGUGGGCACUGCACUUGCAGUAGCUGCAACGUCCCUGAGCCAGCUAGUGUCAAUGGCUUGUAAAUCUUUAAUGGCCUACCCAUUUAGUUGAGCUGUGCACCCAGCACAAUAAAGCUCUUUGGGGCAGGGAACGAGCACCCACUGGGGAACCAGACCAGUGCCACUGUGCCGAGGCACUUGUUUCAUUGGUGGCUGCUGGGACAAGGCCCUCUGCAGCGUGACUGUGCAGUGCCCUGCACAGGAGAGACCAGCAAUGUCUGCAGCCUCCCAGCGCUGCUGCCAAACAAUACAAAUCAUUCUUUCCAGAGCUGCAUCCACAGUUUUACUGUUCUCAUUGCAAAUUCACUUGCUUUGCUCUCUGGCUAAAUACUUUGCACCUGGAAACAUGCACUUGAAUGCCAUUUUGGUGGUUGGAAAUCAAUAUUAAUUUACUUGUGCGUAUAAAUACAGAAAUGUAUUUAUAAGUUUCAGAUCAGUUGCAAACACAUGCAAAUUCUGUACAUAAAUUCUCACUCAUUUAUGUAAUCUGUUCAGUAAUAUCAUUAAAGAGAGCACAUCCACUGCCUGACUAGAGUGACAUUUGCAAUGCGCUGAGAUCAGCUGUGACUGUUCACGCACUGCACUUCUGUGCCCCUGCGGCUCCUGGCAGUGGGGGAUGCUCUGGCUCCAGGUACCUCCUGCUCUCUCCUAUGACAUCUUAAGAAUACAUAUCUGUGUAUAUAUACAUUCAGAAUUUCAGGUCUCUUUUGUGGUUUGUCGCAAAGGAAAGGAUUUUCUGCUUUCUUUUGUCACUAAAAACCUGUUGCAAAGUCACCUGUGAUCACAAACGCUCUGGGCUUGGUGGCAUCCUGCAGUCUUAGUAUCCCUUCAGCUGCGGAUGAGGAGAAGAGUAGGAAUUAUUUACAAUUCUACAAAAAAGAAACAUGGUCAAGCAAGAUAUCAUUAAAACACGCUCUUAACAAAAUGCAGUGUGUGUAUUUCUCAGGGAUGUCAUUUGAGAACUGCCCACUAAAUUACUGCUCGGAGAGGUAACUCCGAAUGAAGGGAAAAAUCAUCUGGUUAAACGUAUUGUAUGUCAGUGCUGAGAAAAUCAUUAACAUAUAUAUGCUGCGGAGAAGAGAAUUCACCAGCUAAAGUCUAUCAAUAAAGAUAUACCACAUUUUUAUGAUGCUGGAAUUAAAGAGACCUGAUAGAAUAAUACCACACUCAUUUUAUUUAAAAAUAUGGUCUUGUCAAAGCUGUUUCCCUUUCAGGAUGGAUGAAACUCGGCCACAUCAAUAUUACUGAUUUUAAAUUGUCAUUUUUUAGGCUGAAUGCUUUAUUAUUUUUAAUUAUUUAAUAAUUCCAGCAGAUGCGAAUUGGCCAUACGACUGAUUUCUUCGUAAGCCACUGUAUGACUAUUGAACACGCCAGGAAAGCAGUGCUGAGAAAAGGCACGGAGUUUUAUGUGCACAACAGUGCACUCCGUAACACUGCCGCCUUUUACACAAAGACGUUUUUGAAGAAGGCUUUGGUUCAGUGAGGAUACAUUUUGAACGUGCAUUUGGGGCCUGCUUUAAACGUUGUAAGCUGAAGCACGCGGGGAUGAAGAUUCUUCCCCACAUGUGGAAGAAACUGCAUUCUCUGUUGCAUUAUUUGAGAGGGAAUAUACGACUAUGACACUGGUGGUGUUGGGCGCUUCACCCCGUGGCAGAAGUGAGGCUAAAUACUCAAUUUUCAAUGUUUUUGUUUUUUUAAUUUAACUUUGCAUAGGAGUCUUCAUUGCACGCCCAUUAAUUUUUGUACUUGAUUUCAUGCACUGUUUUAAAAUAGGAAAAAUGGCACAAAGACAAACAGAAACUCAAGAGAAAGUGCGUGCUGAGGGGGACUGAGUGCAGAAGAGGGGAGCUCUGGCUGCAGCCCGCUGAGGACAGGCCCUCACACCGAAGCGUGUACCUCCAGUAAAACACUCUGGGUCAUCACGCAGCCCGGGGAGAGGUACUGACCCGCUCUGCUUAUGGCUGUGCUCUCUGCUUGCCACAGCAGCGCCGAGAUUGAGCUCAUCAUAAUGUGUCUCCAUAUAGGGCAUAUUGCUAUUAAAAUAACUGUCUUGCAAAUA
ensembl:lncRNA